rnacentral:rRNA from 1 species
CUAGUCGUGCGCUUCAGCCAAAACGAGGCGCGGCAUACAGCUCAGUAACACGUGGCUAAUCUGCCCUUGGGACGAGAACAACCCCGGGAAACUGGGGCUAAUUCUCGAUAGGUGAAGAACUCUGGAAUGAGUCUUCGCUUAAAGAGCUUCACGUUAUGCUCGUGAAGUCGCCCAAGGAUGAGGCCGCGACCGAUCAGGUUGUUGGUGAGGUAAUGGCUCACCAAGCCUUUUACCGGUGCGGGCCGUGAGAGCGGGAGCCCGGAGAUGGGCACUGAGACAAGGGCCCAGGCCCUACGGGGCGCAGCAGUCGCGAAAACUUUGCAAUACACGAAAGUGUGACAGGGCUAUCCCGAGUGCCAUCCGCUGAGGAAGGCUUUUACCCAGUAUAGAUCGCUGGGGGAAUAAGGAGAGGGCAAGUCUGGUGUCAGCCGCCGCGGUAAUACCAGCUCUCCGAGUGGUGUGGAUGUUUAUUGGGCCUAAAGCAUCCGUAGCUGGCUAAGUUAGUCCCUUGUUAAAUCCACCGAAUUAAUCGUUGGAUUGCGGGGGAUACUGCUUGGCUAGGGGACGAGAGAGGCAGACGGUAUU